AUUGAACGCUGGCGGCAGGCUUAACACAUGCAAGUCGAACGAGUGGCGGACGGGUGAGUAAUGUCUGGGAAACUGCCUGAUGGAGGGGGAUAACUACUGGAAACGGUAGCUAAUACCGCAUACCAUCAGAUGUGCCCACAUGGGAUUAGCUUGUGGGUGGGGUAACGGCUCACCAAGGCGACGAUCCCUAGCUGGUCUGAGAGGAUGACCAGCCACACUGGAACUGAGACACGGGCCAGACUCCUACGGGAGGCAGCAGUGGGGAAUAUUGCACAAUGGGCGCAAGCCUGAUUCAGCCAUGCCGCGUGAAUGAAGAAGGCCUUCGGGUUGUAAAGUUCUUUCAGCAGGGAGGCGUUACCCGCAGAAGAAGCACCGGCUAACUCCGUGCCAGCAGCCGCGGUAAUUC
rnacentral:rRNA from 1 species